rnacentral:rRNA from 1 species
CGAACGGGUGAGUAACACGUGAGUAACCUGCCCUUGACUCUGGGAUAAGCCUGGGAAACUGGGUCUAAUACCGGAUAUGACUCCUCAUCGCAUGGGGGGGGGUGGAAAGCUUUUUGUGGUUUUGGAUGGACUCGCGGCCUAUCAGCUUGUUGGUGGGGUAAUGGCCUACCAAGGCGACGACGGGUAGCCGGCCUGAGAGGGUGACCGGCCACACUGGGACUGAGACACGGCCCAGACUCCUACAGGAGGCAGCAGUGGGGAAUAUUGCACAAUGGGCGCAAGCCUGAUGCAGCGACGCCGCGUGAGGGAUGACGGCCUUCGGGUUGU